UACGUAGGGUGCAGGCGUUAAUCGGAAUUACUGGGUGUACAGCGUGCGCAGGCGGCUCCUUAAGUCCGCCGUGAAAGUCCAGGGCUCAACCCUGGAAUGCCGGUGGAAACUGUCGGGCUGGAGUCCGGAAGAGGCGAGUGGAAUUCCUGGUGUAGCGGUGAAAUGCGCAGAUAUCAGGAGGAACACCAAUGGCGAAGGCAGCUCGCUGGGACGGUACUGACGCUGAGACGCGAAAGCGUGGGGAGCAAACAGG
rnacentral:rRNA from 1 species